CACGUAGGGCGCAAGCGUUGUCCGGAAUUAUUGGGCGUAAAGAGCUCGUAGGCGGUCUGUUGCGUCCGCUGUGAAAACUCGGGGCUUAACCCCGAGCCUGCAGUGGAUACGGGCAGACUAGAGGUAGGUAGGGGAGAAUGGAAUUCCCGGUGUAGCGGUGAAAUGCGCAGAUAUCGGGAGGAACACCAGUGGCGAAGGCGGCUCACUGGUCCGGUACUGACGCUGAGGUGCGAAAGCGUGGGGAGCAAACAGGG
rnacentral:rRNA from 1 species